rnacentral:lncRNA from 1 species
ACAAUUUACGAGGAAUAUAAACUUCUGCAACCCUAAAAUAAUAGCGCAUAAUUUAUUUUACACUCCCUCCUUUUCCUCCCAACCUUUUCGGUCUAGAAACUUCUGCCUUUCACAGAUACUUCAUAGACUCUUUCUCUCUCCGCAUGAAGUCUUUGAAUUGAAAUUCUCUCUAUGCAAUAUUUAGGGAUUAUGCAAGCUUGAAGAAACAUGAUUUGAUAAAACCAGAACGUGUUUACUUGUCAAAAAAAAGGUCAGAGUCACAUUAAUUUUGCUUGAAUCUUGACGAAUAGAGGAAGUUCUGUUCAUCAAAGAAAUCUUACAAGUUUUACAGUGGAAAGAAUCACAUAAUAGCCAAGCAAACCACUUAUCAAACACAAAGGUUAUUCCCGGUUCUUCCUAUUUGUAUUUUGGCUUUGGAUUCAUUAUUAAUUUAUGUUAGAUGCUUUUGGAUUCAGCCACUAAAUCCUCUCACUUACCAUUUUAUCCAGAUGAAACCUAGCAAUUUUGCUGUUGUGAAUAGUUUAAUCGUGAAGUUGAAGGGCAAUUCUUAUAUAUCCCCAAAAGAAAAAAAAACUGCCCUAUUAGGAUCUUAACCAUGAUUAGGAUAAUGAAUAUUUUCAUACAUUUUCCCAAUUACUACUUGUGUUAGAUGCCUUUUGAUUUGUUACCAAAAUUUUCCUUUCUUCAUUAUUAAUUGAAGUAUUUUUUUAAUAGUUGUGAAUAAUUUUAAAAGUAUAUAUGCACUUUUGUACAUGCACGUAUGGUAAAUCGUAAGAGAAGUUUUCUUUUUUUACUUAUUCUUUGCUAAAUAUUGGUUAACUUUGCUGAAAUUCUAAGGAUUUGAAAUGUAGUACUUUUUUUCUUACAAUCACUAUGCAUUUUUUUCUUACUUUUGGUUGAUCCUUAAAAAAUCUAAAACCACACUUACUAUUUAGAGUUUUGACAUUGAAAUUACCCUAUUUGUGUAGGUAUAAUGUUUUAAAGUUGGCCAGGUCCUUAUACUGUUCAGAAUUUCUUUUUUACUUUUUUUUUUCUUUUUUUCUUUUAUUGUUUUAGGUAAGUAAUUUAGAAAAUUUGGAUUACAUGAUGGAAAAUCUGUUCCAGGCUAGUUUCUUCUAUUUCUGGGUUUUUGAAUUUGAUUAUAGGCACAAAAUUUUGCUUAACAUCUAAGAAUCAUUCACUUUUACUUUUCUCUCAUGGAGUUUGAUUUGAAAAAUAAAAACUGAAUCUGACGUUCUCUAUAUUUGUAAUUCUGCUUUAUUUUAGUUUUGUAACGACCCAACCGGUCAUUUCAUGUAUCAUAUCCCCUCUUUCCCCGUUUCUGCUUCUUCAUGUGUUGUUCAGUUGUAUUUCACCAUAUCAUGUUGGUUGUGUUAUGUUCGGAGUGGUCUUAGAGUGGGAUGAGACACUUAGUUUCUUAUUUAGAAGCUUAAGUUGGAAAAGUCAUCCGGAUGUUGACUUAUGAGUAGAAGGUCUUGGAUGUGAAUUCUGAUGGUUCGGAUAGCUUUGUUAGGUGAUUUUGGACUUAUGAGCGUGUUCAGAAUGUAUUUUGGAGGUCUGUGAUAUAUUUAGACUUGAAUUGGCGAAAUUGGAAAUUGGCGUUUUUUGGUCGGCAGUGAAAAUUUUGAUAUAGGGGUCAGAAUAGAAUUCCGAAAAUUGGAAUAGGUCCGUUGUGUUAUUUGUGAUGUGUGCGCAAAAUUUCAGGUCAUUCGGAUGUAGUUUGAUAGGUUUUGUAUCAUUUGCGGAAUUCGAAAGUUUUGAAAUCCUUAGGCUUGAAUUCGAGGUCGAUUUGGUGUUUCGAUGUUGUUUUGAGUGUUCCGAAGGUUGGAAUAAGUUGGAAUGGUGUUAUGUGACUUGUUUGUAUUUUUGGUUGAGGUCCCGGGGGUCCUCGGAAUGAUUUCGAAAAGUUUGAACUUGAGAAAUUGCAGCUGGUGCUGCUGCCUCUGUCAUAUCUACACCUGCGGAUUGACGAUCGCAGGUGCGAGCUCCGCAAGAGUGAAAAAAGCCGCAGGUGCGUGGAGGACCGCAAGUGCGGCUUGGUGAACGACAUCUGCGAUGCCGCAGGAGCGGUAAGGCGACCGUAUAUGCGAGGGUUGUAAUGUUAAGUGAAAUCUGCAAAAGCGGAUAUAUUUCCGCAGAAGUGGAAGCGCAGGUGCGCUUAUGGGAUCGCAGGUGCGGAAUCCUUGGGGCAGAAAGUAUAUAAGCUCCCUUUCGUGAAUUUCAAUUAUUUUUCCAUCAUUUUUGGACGAUUUUAGGCUUCAAGCUGUGAUUUCAAGAGAGAAUCAAGUGUUUUCAGAGAGGUAAGCUACUUGGGUCUUGUAUCUUAUGUUUAUGGUUAUUAUUCCAUUGUUUAAUUAUGAAAUUAGUGGGAAAAUUUGAGAAGAAAUUGGGAGACUAGGGCUUGAAAUUGGAGAGUUUAAAUUGGGGAUUUGAGGGGUCAUUUGAGGUUCAAUUUUGAUGAUUUUGGUAUGUAUAGACUCGUGAGAGGAUAAUGAUUCUAGUGUUGUGAUUUUUAUCGAAUUUCGAGACGUGAGCCCGGGGGUCGGGUUUGGCCAAUUUCGAGAAUUUUGAUUUAAUUUGAUAAUUUUUGUGUAGGCUUUGUUCCUUUGGCAUGUAUUGAUGAUAUCAUUCUAAUUUUGGAUAGAUUCGGGGCGAUUCGAGGCCUAGUCGAGAGGCAAGGGCAUUGCGGAGUAGAUUUUCGUCUGGUUGGAGGUAAGUAACGAUUGUAAAUCUAGACCUGAGGGUAUAAAACCUCAGAAUUUUGUACUAUUUUGAUAAAUAAGGUGACGCACAUACUAGGUGACGAGCGUGCACUUGCAAAGAUUGUGACUUGGUCCGUCCCAUGACAACUGUAUAGUUGCAUAUUUCAAUAAACUCUAUAUGAUAUCUAUGUGUUUACAAAUAAAUUUGUUAACUUGGGCUGAAUGCCAUGUUUGGGGCCUUGUGUCGUACUGUUUGGACCCUCAAGUGAUAUUUUACUACUAUCAUCACACCGUUUGGAUUCGAAAGCAUAUCCUUAGUCAUGAUUUUUAUUUGUUUAUUGUUUGAUUCAGUUUCAUUACUCUACUUUUAAAUAUAUAAAAACUGUUUGGGCUGAGUUCCCUGAUUUUUUUACUGAAAUGCCCGAAUGGCUGUGAGGUUGAUGACUGAGAGAGGGCGAGGGCCUAAUGGUGAGGAUUAUAUAUUUAUGGAUCGGGUUGCACGCCGCAGCGGUAUAUAUAUAUAUAUAUAUGUGUGUGUGUGUGUGUGUGUGUGUGUGUGUGUGUGUAUUGGGCUUCACGCUGCAGCGAUAUAGCAUCUGGGAUGUAGGAGCCCCUCCGGAGUCUGCACAUCCCCAGUGAGUGCAGUCGACUAUAUAUUUAUGGAUCGGGCUGCACGCCGCAACAGUUAUUGUGAGAUAUCUAUUGAGCGGGCGUGCUGAGUGUGAGUGUUGGUUGAUGAGAAUUGAGUCACGAGUGACUGAGAGGCUUGUCGAGGGUCUUGUUUAUGAAAUUAAUAUUUUCACUCUUCUUUUAUACUGAGCCUCUAUUGAAAAUGUUGAACAAAUGCUUUAAAUAACUUUCAUUGAAAUGAAAUUCAAAUGUUAUAACUCCAGUACGUCAGGAACCAUCAGAAAAAGAAAGACUAUCCUAGAAAAAAUUGUAUAACUUGGGCCUCAAAAAGCGAUCGGAAAGCGAAGCCCUUCCUUCCAAUCCAAGCCGGCGGUGGCUAAGAAGCUUGAUCACUUUGUUGAAUAAAGCAAGUUGACGUGAUGAUCGAAUCUGGGUGAAGUGUCGCUACUUGGCCCAGCGCUCUGAAAAGACAAAUUGCCAAUCUUUUCUUUCAUCUCGGGAGAAAUACGAUCGGGAGAAAUCCGUUGCUUGUUCCUUUCGUGACUCAAACAGCCGGUUUGCGAGAUGUUCGAAAUUUAAUUACCGAUUUGAUCUUGCUAUUCCCACUGAGGUUUUUAUGUUAUGAAUUGUAUAUAAUUUUAAAUGCUCGUCACUUCACUCAGCCUUUAUUUAUAAUUGUUACUUACUGAGUUGGCGUACUCACGUUACUCCCUGCGCCUUCUGUGCAGAUCCAAGCGCCAGAGCAUCCCAGUGAGAGCUGAUCUUUCCUUUAGAGCAUUUUCAGAGUUAGCAAGCUAGCUGCACGGUGUCCGCAGCCUUGCCUUUCUCUUUCCUAUCUAUUAGUAUUUAUUUUUAUCAGACUCAUCUUGUAUUGAGCAUGCAGUGUCAGAUUGUAUUUUAGUGACUCAUGACUAGUGACACCGGGGUCGGGCAGUGUUUGAUGUUUUGCAUAUUUGUUUCCGCUUGUUUUGAAAUGUUUUAAAUGAAAGAUUUGUGAUAAUAUCUGAUUAGUAAAUGAAUUAAGAAAAAGACAUGUUUUACGUUAUAAUUGUCGAAUCGACUUGCCUAGUACUGCGAGCGGCGCCACCACAACCGAGGUGAUUUAGGGUCGUGACAAGUUUUCAAUUUGUCAAAUAUUUUUCCGUUUCGAGUUUAAUUUUUGUUGUUUUGAUCAAAUAGGACAG